rnacentral:tRNA from 2 species
GCGGGGGUUGCCAAGCCUGGUCAACGGCGCAGGGCUCAGAACCCUGUCCCGUAGGGGUUCGUGGGUUCAAAUCCCACCCCCCGCA